UCUUGACCUUUAUCUAAUGUUCAGAUCUGCUAGUGAACUUGGAGUAUGGGUGCAUUUUGCUGCUGCCCAUGUGGGGAGGAUUUUGAAGAAUAUGCUCAUCCAAGCAGUUCGAUUUAUAGACACUGCAUAUGUCUCAGAUACUUCUUUCAUCAGCUGUUUAGUGGGGUUUUGGGCUCCAUAUCGUGAUGGCUAAUGAAUUCCUCUUUUGUUCCUGCAGAUAGGGUUUAUCAUACGAGCACUUCUGAAUCCUCAGUUGUAAUUUCUUUACAUCAAGGAUACUUCUCUUCUCACAUGCUAUUCAGUUUGCAACUCUUUGUAUUUUUUCUUAUUAACAUUUCUUUUGGUAUAUCAAAGACCAAAUUGACUAUGUAAUUGUCAGUUGUACCUGCAUUUGAGAAGAUAAUGGAAUUGUUACUUAUUUGCUCUGAUAUUAACUUAUUCUCACUUUGAAUAU